UACGAAGGGGGCUAGCGUUGCUCGGAAUCACUGGGCGUAAAGGGUGCGUAGGCGGGUCUUUAAGUCAGGGGUUAAAUCCUUGAGCUCAACUCCAGAACUGCCUUUGAUACUGAAGAUCUUGAGUUCGGGAGAGGUGAGUGGAACUGCGAGUGUAGAGGUGAAAUUCGUAGAUAUUCGCAAGAACACCAGUGGCGAAGGCGGCUCACUGGCCCGAUACUGACGCUGAGGCACGAAAGCGUGGGGAGCAAACAGG
rnacentral:rRNA from 1 species